AACGAACGCUGGCGGCAGGCUUAACACAUGCAAGUCGAGCGCCCCGCAAGGGGAGCGGCAGACGGGUGAGUAACGCGUGGGAAUCUACCCAUCCCUACGGAAUAGCUCCGGGAAACUGGAAUUAGUACCGUAUACGCCCUACGGGGGAAAGAUUUAUCGGGGAUGGAUGAGCCCGCGUUGGAUUAGCUAGUUGGUGGGGUAAAGGCCUACCAAGGCGACGAUCCAUAGCUGGUCUGAGAGGAUGAUCAGCCACAUUGGGACUGAGACACGGCCCAAACUCCUACGGGAGGCAGCAGUGGGGAAUAUUGGACAAUGGGGGCAACCCUGAUCCAGCCAUGCCGCGUGAGUGAUGAAGGCCUUAGGGUUGUAAAGCUCUUUCACCGGGGAAGAUAAUGACGGUACCCGGAGAAGAAGCCCCGGCUAACUUCGUGCCAGCCGCCGCCUGUAA
rnacentral:rRNA from 1 species